GCCCUUAUAGCUCAGUUGGUAGAGCACCUGAUUUGUAAUCAGGGGGUCUCGGGUUCGAAUCCUGAUGGGGGCACCA
rnacentral:tRNA from 3 species